AAGUCGUAACAAGGUUUCCGUAGGUGAACCUGCGGAAGGAUCAUUAUCGUAAAAACAUAGGCCGAGCGGCUGUCGCUGGUCCUCCGGGACAUGUGCACGCCUUCGGUCGACAUCCUUCACACCCCUGUGCACCUCUGCGUGUGGUCUUCCCCUUGCUUCUUAAAAACGGCGGGGUUGGCCCGCGUCUCUUAUAAACACCCCUCAAUGUCUUACGAAUGUCUACUAUGCGAUACAAAGCAUCUAAUACAACUUUCAACAACGGAUCUCUUGGCUCUC
rnacentral:misc_RNA from 1 species